GCGAAAGUCGAAAAAAAACCCCGUCGGCGAAGGCCUCCCCUCGCACCCCUCGAGGCGCUCUAAUUACUCCACCAAGAGCCUGAACGUCUGUCGGGGACCAAUCAGCGGGCAGCCGGGAAGCGGGAGAGCGGCGUUCGUUUGUUUGCGAGGCAAACACUCGCCAGGAGUGAAGUUGUAUUUUCCGCGCGCACAAAAAGCGCGAGGGAGGCGCUACUUCUCUCUCUCAUCUGGAUUCCCACGCUGCUCCCCCAGGGAUGAGCGGGCGCUUCGAGUGACAAGUGACGCGAGUGCAUUCGCACACUUCUCUCUGAACUUUCGGC
ensembl:lncRNA